AUGGAGUUGAGUUUGUCUCAUAUGUUACGUCUUUUUAAUGUCUUUCGUGAAAAUGAUGGGAAGGAAAAUUGUGCUCAAGUACUAGAAGAAGAAUUACAUAGAAUGCUUGGCAUAAAAUAUGUGAAUGAUGAGGAUGAUUGCAAUGUUGUUAGUAUGAACUCCUUGAAUAUCCAUGAUGCUAAUGAUAUGCAAAGCCACAAGCUUGGGGAAGCUAUGUUUGAUGAAGAUGAUAUUUUUUGUCCCCCAAGCUUUGAUGAGCAAAUUUACUAUGAUGAAAGCAUGCCUCCUAUCUAUGAUGAUUAUUGUGAUGACACAUAUGCUUCAAAGAAUAAUGAUAACCAUGAAACUUGUCAUCUUGAUCUUAAUUUUCAAUCACAUGAUAGUUAUUUUGUUGAGUUUGCUCCCACUACUAUUCAUGAGAAGAAUUUUGCUUAUGUGGAGAGUAGUAAAAUUUCUAUGCUAGUAGAUCAUGAAAAGAAUGCUUUAGGUGCUGGUUAUAUUGUUGAAUUUAUUCAUGAUGCUACUGAAAAUUAUUAUGAGGGAGGAACAUAUGCUUGUGGGAAUUGCAAUAAUAUCAAAGUUUCCUCUCUAUGUGCUUAA
rnacentral:rRNA from 1 species